AUGUAUACGACUCACUAUAGGGCGAAUUGGGCCCGACGUCGCAUGCUCCCGGCCGCCAUGGCGGCCGCGGGAAUUCGAUUAGAGUUUGAUCAUGGCUCAGGACGAACGCUGGCGGCGUGCCUAACACAUGCAAGUCGAACGGAGCUGGGGGCAACUCCAGCCGAGUGGCGGACGGGUGCGUAACACGUAAGCAACGUGUCUAUCGGCGGGGAAUAGCCGGCCCAACGGCCGGGUAAUACCGCAUGUUGUCGCUCGGGGCAUCCCGUGGCGACGAAAGGGGGGGGCAACUCUCUCACCGGUAGAGCGGCUUGCGGCCUAUCAGCUAGUUGGUGAGGUCACGGCUUACCAAGGCGACGACGGGUAGCUGGUCUGAGAGGAUGACCAGCCACAUUGGGACUGAGACACGGCCCAGACUCCUACGGGAGGCAGCAGUGGGGAAUCUUGCGCAAUGGGCGAAUGCCUGACGCAGCGACGCCGCGUGUGGGAUGAAGGUCUUCGGAUCGUAAACCACUGUCGGGGGGGACGAAGGCCCGGCGCCUCAUAAGCGACCGGGAUGACGGUACCCUCAAAGGAAGCACCGCU
rnacentral:rRNA from 1 species